GUAGGGGGCCAGCGUUGUCCGGAUUCAUUGGGCGUAAAGAGCGUGUAGGCGGUUCAAUAGGUCCGAUGUGAAAACUCGAGGCUCAACCUCGAGAGGUCGUCGGAAACCAUUGAGCUAGAGUCCGGAAGAGGAGAGUGGAAUUCCUGGUGUAGCGGUGAAAUGCGCAGAUAUCAGGAAGAACACCGAUGGCGAAGGCAGCUCUCUGGGACGGUACUGACGCUGAGACGCGAAAGCGUGGGGGGAGCGAACAGGAUUAGAUACCCUGGUAGUCCACGCCGUAAACGAUGGGCACUAGGUGUGGGUGGUGUCGACUCCAUCCGUGCCGCAGCUAACGCAUUAAGUGCCCCCCGCCUGGGAGUACGGCCGCAAGGCUA
rnacentral:rRNA from 1 species